GACGAACGCUGGCGGCGUGCUUAACACAUGCAAGUCGAACGGACAGGCCCUUCUUUUGUGGGGUGCUCGUGUGGCGAACGUGUGUGUAUCACGUGUGUAACCUGCCCUUUACUUUGGGAUAUCUUCAUGUAACUUGGGCUAAUACCCGAUAUGAUCUCCUGCUGCUUGGUGGUGGUUGGUAUGUUUCGGCGGUUGGGGAUGGACUCGCGGCUUUUCAGCUUGUUGGUGGGGUAGUGGCUUACCAAGGCUUUGACGGGUAGCCGGCCUGUGAGGGUGACCGGCGACAGUGGGACUGAGAUACGGCACAGAGUGGAACGGGAGGCAGCAGUGGGGAAAAUUGCAAAAUGGGCGGAAGCCUGAUGCAGAAACGCGGGGUGCGGGAAGAAGGGCUACGGGUUGAAAACAGAUUUCGAAUGAGACGAAGAGAGAGUGACGGUAAUGGGUAAAGAAGCACCGGCUAACUACGUG
rnacentral:rRNA from 1 species